rnacentral:rRNA from 1 species
UAGGGAAUAUUGCGCAAUGGGCGAAAGCCUGACGCAGCAACACCGUGUGAGCGAUGAAGGCCUUCGGGUCGUAAAGCUCUGUCAGGUGGGAAGAAACCCGGUUGGUAGAUAAUGCCGGCCGGCUGACGGUACCACCAGAGGAAGCUCCGGCUAACUCCGUGCCAGCAGCCGCGGUAAUACGGAGGGAGCAAGCGUUGUUCGGAAUUACUGGGCGUAAAGGGCGCGCAGGCGGUUUGGUAAGUCAGAUGUGAAAUUCACCGGCUCAACCGGUCGAACUGCAUCCGAUACUGCCAGACUUGAGAUCAGUAGAGGAGAGUGGAAUUCCCAGUGUAGCGGUGGAAUGCGUAGAUAUUGGGAAGAACACCGGUGGCGAAGGCGGCUCUCUGGACUGAUUCUGACGCUGAGGCGCGAAAGCUAGGGGAGCAAACAGGAUUAGAUACCCUGGUAGUCCUAGCCGUAAACGAUGGGUACUAGGUGUUGGGGGUUUCCAUGCCUCCAGUGCCGAAGCUAACGCAUUAAAUACCCCGCCUGGGGAGCACGACCGCAAGGUUG